AGUGAACGCUGGCGGUAGGCCUAAUACAUGCAAGUCGAACGGCAGCACAGUAAGUGCUUGCUCUAACGGGUGGCGAGUGGCGUACGGGUGAGGAAUACAUCGUAAUUUACUUUUUCGUGGGGGUUAACGUAGGGAAACUUACUCUAAUAUCGCAUACGACCUCCGGUUGAAAGCAGUGGAUAGUCGGACCUUACGCGACUGUUUGAGCCGAUGUCGGAUUAGCUAGUUGGCGGGGUAAAGUCCCACCACGGCGACGAUCCGUUGCUGCUCUGAGAGGAGGAUCACCCAAACUGGAACUGAAACACGGUCCAAACUCCUCCGGGAGCCGGCAGUGGGGAAUAUUGGAAAGGGGGCGAAAGCCUGCUCCAGCCAGCCCGGGUGGGGAAAGAGGGCCUUCGGUUUGUAAGGCCUUUUUGUUGGGAAGAAAAAGCAGCGGGUUAAUAGCCCGCUAUUCUGACGGUACCUAAAGAGUAAGCACCGGCUAACUUCGUG
rnacentral:rRNA from 1 species